rnacentral:tRNA from 1 species
AGCGAAGUAGAGCAAUGGUAGCUCGUCGGAUUCAUAAUCCGAAGGUUGUCGGUUCAAGUCCGACCUUCGCUU